GGAGAAAAGAUGGGCAUCUACAAGCUAAGGGGAGAAGCCUCAUAAGAAACCAACCCUGACAACACCGUGAUCUUGGGACUUCCAGCCUCCAGAACUAUUUCAUGUCCCCACUUUGCAUCAGAUGUCCACAUAGUGGAUCUAAAGGGUCACAGGGGCGAAGAGAACAGGGAAUGGCUGUUAACCUUGGCACAGAAAAAGUUUAAGAUAGAAAAAUCACAAGCCACAAAAGGAAAAAAAGAAUUGCUCCCAGGUUCCAGAAGGAUCAAAUGUCUGAUCCCGCAACUCUAAAUAUCAGACCCUGGACCAUGAUGAAUCCACCAGGACCAAGAUCGCCUCCGAAGGCUGUGUGGCAUCACUCUUUGGGCAAUGCACCAACCUUGCCAUACAUCCUUCAGUUCAAACUUCUUCAGACAACAAACUAAUUGACAUUAGGAGGUUCCCUGGAGCUUAUAGCACUGGCCUGUGACUCCCAGAACAUGGAACAAACCUGUUGAAGGCCCACAGAUCAUUUGCAUGGAAAACGUUUAUUAAGAAUUUCCAGGAACUGGG